AGCUUGCUACCUGACCUAGCGGCGGACGGGUGAGUAAUGCUUAGGAAUCUGCCUAUUAGUGGGGGACAACAUUCCGAAAGGAAUGCUAAUACCGCAUACGCCCUACGGGGGAAAGCAGGGGAUCUUCGGACCUUGCGCUAAUAGAUGAGCCUAAGUCAGAUUAGCUAGUUGGUGGGGUAAAGGCCUACCAAGGCGACGAUCUGUAGCGGGUCUGAGAGGAUGAUCCGCCACACUGGGACUGAGACACGGCCCAGACUCCUACGGGAGGCAGCAGUGGGGAAUAUUGGACAAUGGGCGAAAGCCUGAUCCAGCCAUGCCGCGUGUGUGAAGAAGGCCUUUUGGUUGUAAAGCACUUUAAGCGAGGAGGAGGCUACUUAGAUUAAUACUCUAGGAUAGUGGACGUUACUCGCAGAAUAAGCACCGGCUAACUCUGUGCCAGCAGCCGCGGUAAUACAGAGGGUGCGAGCGUUAAUCGGAUUUACUGGGCGUAAAGCGUGCGUAGGCGGCUUCUUAAGUCGGAUGUGAAAUCCCUGAGCUUAACUUAGGAAUUGCAUUCGAUACUGGGAAGCUAGAGUAUGGGAGAGGAUGGUAGAAUUCCAGGUGUAGCGGUGAAAUGCGUAGAGAUCUGGAGGAAUACCGAUGGCGAAGGCAGCCAUCUGGCCUAAUACUGACGCUGAGGUACGAAAGCAUGGGGAGCAAACAGGAUUAGAUACCCUGGUAGUCCAUGC
rnacentral:rRNA from 1 species